GCCCGUGUAGCACAGUGGUAGUGCGCCUGACUACGAUUUAUCGGGUUCUCUCGCGUGAUCGAUCAGGAGGUCGAGGUUUCGAACACCUCCUCGGGUU